UGCUAAGCUACGUGGUGCAGGUUGCAGCA
rnacentral:piRNA from 1 species